rnacentral:rRNA from 1 species
GAGUUUGAUCCUGGCUCAGAUUGAACGCUGGCGGGAUGCUUUACACAUGCAAGUCGGACGGCAGCACGGGCUUCGGCCUGGUGGCGAGUGGCGAACGGGUGAGUAAUGUAUCGGAACGUGCCCAGUAGCGGGGGAUAACUACGCGAAAGCGUAGCUAAUACCGCAUACGCCCUACGGGGGAAAGCGGGGGACCUUCGGGCCUCGCACUAUUGGAGCGGCCGAUAUCGGAUUAGCUAGUUGGUGGGGUAACGGCUCACCAAGGCGACGAUCCGUAGCUGGUUUGAGAGGACGACCAGCCACACUGGGACUGAGACACGGCCCAGACUCCUACGGGAGGCAGCAGUGGGGAAUUUUGGACAAUGGGGGCAACCCUGAUCCAGCCAUCCCGCGUGUGCGAUGAAGGCCUUCGGGUUGUAAAGCACUUUUGGCAGGAAAGAAACGGCGCAGGCUAAUACCUUGCGCAACUGACGGUACCUGCAGAAUAAGCACCGGCUAACUACGUG